rnacentral:rRNA from 1 species
GACAGAGGUUGCAAACGUUGUUCGGAAUUACUGGGCAUAAAGCGCACGUAGGCGGUUCGUUAAGUCAUGUGUGAAAUCCCUCGGCUCAACCGAGGAAUUGCGCCUGAUACUGGCGGGCUAGAGAUCGAUAGGGGUGAGUGGAACUCCAGGUGGAGCGGUGAAAUGCGUAGAUAUCGGGAAGAACACCGACGGCGAAGGCAG